UAGAUCUGGGGAAUGUUUUAGACUCAGCAGUUCUGGAUUUCAGCAUAGUAUAUGAUAAAGUCUGGCAUACUAUGGACUCUUUGUGGGACAGUAUUUGGAAAAGGAUGAAAGACUAGCUUCAGAGAAUGGUGGCCUACCUCCCACCAAGCCAGGGCCAACAGCUAGACUGUAGAAGUAUCUUCUAAAGUAUGUCUCAAGCUGGGGGUUGUGACAUCUUGAGGAUUGUCGAGUCCUACACACCAGGAGGAAUAGCACUACGGUACUCCGAGAACUACAACAGCUGCCUUCAUUGUGGACAAUUCUGCUAUGAUAAUUCCUCUCUUCAGCCUUUUGUAUUUUCUCAUUCAUUCAUUCAUUCAACAAACAUUGACUAAAGUGCCUUUAGUGUGUAUCAAGCAAGUACUAAGCCAGCGGGGAAGCUAACAGAUUUUAAAAUAGAUUUAAUUUAAUUCAAGAAAUACUUAUCAAGCAAGGUUGUGUGAGCAAGCCACUGUGUUAGGCCUUAGGGAUACAAGUACCAAAAGGAAACAGUCCCAGCCUGAAGAGAUUCUUCAGUGGGAAUGGGAAGGAGACAAUACAACCUAGACAUAAGUAAAUAGAAAGUGCAUCCAAGUCAAUAAAAACAAAGCCAUUUCAUGAAAAUAAA